rnacentral:rRNA from 1 species
UACGGAGGAUCCAAGCGUUAUCCGGAUUUAUUGGGUUUAAAGGGUGCGUAGGCGGCCUAUUAAGUCAGGGGUGAAAGACGGUAGCUUAACUAUCGCAGUGCCUUUGAUACUGAUGGGCUUGAAUGUACUUGAGGUAGGCGGAAUGUGACAAGUAGCGGUGAAAUGCAUAGAUAUGUCACAGAGCACCAAUUGCGAAGGCAGCUUACUAAAGUAUGAUUGACGCUGAGGCACGAAAGCGUGGGGAUCAAACAGG